rnacentral:lncRNA from 1 species
UUUGCAAAUGAAAGAAGGUAAUUCCCUCUGCAGCCCCCCGACAAGUGACCUUGCUCUUUUCUCCUUGGCCAGUGGGAAGCAAACUCAGGAGCUCUGGCCUUAGGAGAUGGGAGGAAGACUAAAGCAGCAGUUCUCAAAGUGUGAUCCGGGAGACCCUGCAGAUCCCAAGAUCCUUUCUAGAGUUUCGGUGGGAGAACUAGUUUUAGAAUUAUAGACGUCAUUUGCCUUUUAAACUCACAAUGGAAUUUUCCAGAGGCGACCUGAUGUCUAAUGAUGACACUGCUCUUAUGACCAAAGGAAUGUGAGCUCGUAUAUUCUUUUAGAAUUUCCUAAGUGAAUCCAGGAAAAUAGAGGAUGCUUCAAAGAAGGAAACGCGAGAGUACCCUGCACCCAAACAGCCUCUGGCCUGAGGAACAAGGAACAGACCAAUGUUCUGGCCCUGGUGCAAGUGAAUGUUUGGCAUAGUCUGCUGGCAACAACAGAAGUUAUUACCUGAAAACUCAUUCUGAAGGUGGAGGAUGUUGGGGGAGUGCUCUUGACAGUUCCAGUCUCCUCAACCUCUUCCUCUUCGUAAGCCUUUCUCCUCUGCUUUGCAUCCCUGUCCCCAAUCACAAGAAUAGGACUGAUAAGUAGAGCUCUGCAAUAUGGGUUAUGAACACCUGCAGUUUAAGACAAGUAAACAAUUGAUGGCAGCAGUGGCCUGUCUGGAGCGGCUACUGUGAAGAUGCCAGCUGUAGUGUGGGAGGCACGGUGGGGGCUGCGUGCUCCGUGGAGCUGGCCGGAGCCCCACCCUCUUCUGAGUUGGCCGGGUGGGAGCCCCACGCUUUCCGGCACAGCUGCAACCACCCAGCCACAGCUGCAGACCUGGACAUCCCUGUGCUCUCGGGGGCUGGGAAGACCCCCUGACCCGCAGGCUUGGAAGUGCCUGCUCCUGCUGCCUGGCCUCUCCUUGCUCCUGGAGCCCACUCUGGGGUGGAGCAAAGUUGUGGCUGAGGCCAAGCGCUGUCUAGACCCAGCUGGGUGUGCGUGCGCCUGGGGCGCCGCUGACAUGCCAGCCCCCUGCCACCCUGGCCCCCUCUAGGCUUUGGGCACUGAGAAGCACAGGAGAGAGGCUGGCGGCGUGGGGUGGGGGAGCUGAGGGCACUCGGUGCGGGCUGCCGGUACUCCUCUGCAGGAACAGCCUGGGCGCUGUGGAUGACAUGAUUGAUGGUGGCAGGAGGCAGACAGGCUCCUGGGCGGAAAGAGGUGGGUCCCCGGUAAAGCCCCACCAUCAAGCCAGGGAGGCCUGAAGCCCAGGGGCUAGGCUGUCAGUCCCGGGUGAAGUCUGUGGCCCGGAGUGAGAACUUAUGGUGAUUUUUCCGGGUCAGCCCAUGGCCACCCAUGGGCCAAUCAGCAUGCACUUCCUCCCUUCUGAGCCUAGCCAGACUCACACAGACGCUGGGACUACCAGCUGUGGGAAGGAGCUACCCAAUUCAGGUCUCCUCGACUCAUCAAGACAACCUGCCUGAAGAAGGGAGCUACCCACUCUGGGUCUCUUCUCCACUGAGAGCUGGACACUUACUGGGACAACCUGCCUGCGGAAAGGAGCUACCCACUUCAAGUUUCCCGAGAGCUGUUCUGUCACUCGAUAAGGCUCCUCUCCGCCUUGCUCACCCUCUAGUUGUCCGCGUACCUCAUUCUUCCUGGAUGUGGGACGAGAACUCAGGACCCACUGAAUGGCGGGACUGAAAGAGCAGUAACACAAACAGGGCUGAAACACGCCCUCCUCCCGUCCCCACACCCCCGCGACUUGCCAUGUUGCGGGUGAUGUGAAGGAGAGAAGUGCUGUGGCCCUUCAGGGAGCACAGACCUAGGGGCUCCCUGAGCCAGGGCUGUGACACCCUCUUUGGGGCUCUGCGGUUUCUGGUAUCUUCAAACUUCCGGGCACCACUGCAUUCCCCUUGUCCAGACACAGGUGCCCACAGCAGAAGCCGCUUGUGGUUCAUCAGAUCCAGCUGCAGACUUGCAUAGAACCGGCACCUUUGCCGGCGCCUGGAGCUGCCUGCCCAGCUGCAGCAGCUGGUGUGUCCGGCUCUGCGCAGUGGCCAGACCCUGCGUUCGCUCGCCUGCACACCCCUCGCUGUUCCGUGCCUGGCUCACCCUCGGCAGGCGUGGAAUCCUGGCUGGUAGCAUGAGCUGAGCACAGCCUGCCAGGCCACGUCAGUGGAACAAGUCUGGCGGGCCUGAUCAAAACUCAGGCAAAGGCACCACUGGUCACAGAGCUUUCUAGCUGGAAAAGCAACACCUGAAGGAUCCCGUGACACAAUCAACCUGCUAGGAGAUCCCUGCCACCCUGAGAGGCUGCAGGAAGCUGCCUCCAUCCAGGCCUCUUCACAGAAGGAGAAUUGCAGAGACCGUAGGAUUUUUCUACUCACAGGAACAGAUGGUGUCCGGUCAGGAAGGUAAAAUGCUUCAAGAAAAGUGCAAUAGGGAUUAUAAUACUGAUGAUCUGAGACUCUGAUAAUGACUCUGAGAUGAUUCCCAAUUCUAUGAUGAAUCAUCUCAGAAUGACUCCGAGAUGAUGAUUCCUGAUUCUACGAUGAUUGAGGCAGAGCUCACUGGUUGGUGAAUCUAGUUGGUAGAGCUGAGGCACCGCAAUACCAUCAUUUCUUUCUGAGGAAAUCUAAAGAUGAAAGAAUUCAUCACUAAAACUGUACUACGAGAAAUGCUAAAGGAAGUUGUUCAAACUGAUGGAAAAUUAUACCAGAUGGACACUUGAAUUUGCCCAAAGGAAUGAAGAGCACCAGAAAUGGCAAAUGUGUGGUCUUACUGUAUCUUCAUGUCAGUGUCAUAUCAAGGACAAGACAGCAGAAAUGGUCCACUCCAGUUGCAGAUAGUAAAGACCCUGUAGCUCCAGCAUCAGCUCACCUUUCUGGUUUUGAAUUUCAUGCUUAUUACCAUCCUGUCAUCACCUACUGUUUCCAUGGUAGACGGGACUAAGAGAUGGGUAAGAAUGAUACAUGUGUAAGGAUGUAACCAAUAAAUGACACAGACUCACAUCCACCUGAAAGGGCACAAUGAAAUAGUAGUAAGAAGUCCAGAAUCUAUUUUUGCCAAAGUACAGUGGAAAGAAGUGGAAAUACAGUUUCCUUAUUUAUUGGCUUUAGGUGGAAAAGAGUCCUAGAUUACAAAAAUUAAAUGCAGACAUAGGCUUCUGAGAUGACAAUUUUCAAGUCAUUUUAUUUGCAAUAUGGUGGGGAGCCCGUCAAUUAAGUUAGAACUAUCUGUCAUUCAUUACUUUAUAAUUUACCAGAGUAAAAAUAAAUUAGAAUACAUUUGUCCCCAUGGGGAGACAAACCAAAAGGGAGAAAUCUUGUCUGAAGGCUUGGAAAAUGCUGAAUAUGUACAUGAAAGGGGAACUUGAAUACUACAAUUUGAGGCCCUGUGAUCAUCUAGGUUUCUAGAUGAUGUCUCAUUUCCAAGUUUGAGUCCUGUGACUGCAGAGUCCCCUGAUUCCACCAGUGACUGCUGUUAUCAAUGACUGGGGUCAUGAACCUACUUUCAGAUCUACCCCAUUAUCGGGUUUUCGUGACAAGUCUCGGGUGCAGGACUGCGCCCUCUGGUGGAGAAGGACACAACUAAUUACACAUCUGAUAAUAGCCAGUACUUCCUUUUUUUUUUUUUUUUGCCAUUACUUUCAGUGGCAAAAACUGCAAUUACUUUUGCACCAACCUAAUGUUUGGUAAAUGUGUGCUAGCCAUCAAUUGCUGGCCAUUUGACUUUUUGGAGAGUUACUUAAUGUCUCUAAACCACAAUUUCCUUAUCUAUAAGAUGGUAAUACUGACCUCAUACAGUUGUUGUGAGUAUUAAAUAAGAUUAGUGCUUAUUUAAGGAAUUAGUGCUCAAUAAACCAUACUAUCCAUACUAUUAUUUGGUCACUUUUUUUUUUUGGACGGAAUCUUGCUCUGUCACCUA